AGUGAACGCUGGCGGCGCGCCUAAUACAUGCAAGUCGAACGGAGUGGCGAACGCGUGAGUAAUGUCUAGCUAAUCUACCCUACACUAGAGGACACCAGUUGGAAACGACUGCUAAUACUCUAUAGUUUAGGAUGAGGCUAUAUUGUAUCAGCUAGUUGGUGAGGUAAUGGCACACCAAGGCUAUGACGCAUAACUGGUCAGAGAGGAUGAUCAGUCACACUGGAACGGAGACACGGUACAGACGCCUACGCGAGGCAGCAGUAGUGAAGAUUUCGCAAUGGGGGAAACCCUGAAGCAGCUACGCCGCGUGGAGGAUGACACGUUUCGGAGCGUAAACUCAUUUUGUUAGGGAAGCGGUACCUAACGAAUAAGCACCGGAUAACUCCGUGCCAGGAGCCGAGGUAAUUC
rnacentral:rRNA from 1 species